GACGAAGGGAGCUAGCGUUAUUCGGAAUUACUGGGCGUAAAGAGCGUGUAGGCGGUUUAGUAAGUUGAAAGUGAAAGCCCAAAGCUUAACUUUGGAAUUGCUUUUAAAACUACUAAACUAGAGUGUGGUAGAGGGUGAUGGAAUUCCUAGUGUAGGGGUGAAAUCCUUAGAUAUUAGGAGGAACACCGAAGGCGAAAGCAGUCACCUGGGCCACUACUGACGCUGAGACGCGAAAGCAUGGGGAGCAAACAGG
rnacentral:rRNA from 1 species